GAGUCGCAAGCUCGCGAGAGUAAGCUAAUCUCUUAAAGCCGUUCUCAGUUCGGACUGUAGGCUGCAACUCGCCUACACGAAGUCGGAAUCGCUAGUAAUCGCGGAUCAGCAUGCCGCGGUGAAUACGUUCCCGGGCCUUGUACACACCGCCCGUCACACCAUGGGAGUCGGAAAUGCCCGAAGCCGGUGACCAAACCAAUAAGGAAGGAGCCGUCGAAGGCAGGUCUGAUAACUGGGGUGAAGUCGUAACAAGGUAAC
rnacentral:rRNA from 1 species